UCCUACGGGAGGCAGCAGUGGGGAAUUUUCCGCAUUGGGCGAAAGCCUGACGGAGCAACGCCGCGUGAGGGAUGAAGGCCUCUGGGCUGUAAACCUCUUUUCUCAAGGAAGAAGAUCUGACGGUACUUGAGGAAUAAGCCACGGCUAAUUCCGUGCCAGCAGCCGCGGUAAUACGGGAGUGGCAAGCGUUAUCCGGAAUUAUUGGGCGUAAAGCGUCCGUAGGCGGCUUUUCAAGUCUGCUGUUAAAAAGUGGAGCUUAACUCCAUCAAGGCAGUGGAAACUGAUUGGCUUGAGUGUGGUAGGGGCAGAGGGAAUUCCCGGUGUAGCGGUGAAAUGCGUAGAUAUCGGGAAGAACACCAGUGGCGAAGGCGCUCUGCUGGGCCAUAACUGACGCUCAUGGACGAAAGCCAGGGGAGCGAAAGGGAUUAGAUACCCCUGUAGUCCUGGCCGUAAACGAUGAACACUAGGUGUCGGGGGAAUCGACCCCCUCGGUGUCGUAGCCAACGCGUUAAGUGUUCCGCCUGGGGAGUACGCACGCAAGUGUGAAACUCAAAGGAAUUGACGG
rnacentral:rRNA from 1 species